rnacentral:rRNA from 1 species
CAUUACUGAGCUCAUGCCCUGUAGGGUAGAUCUCUCACCCGUGACAUCUCUCACCUGUGUUGCUUUGGCGGGCCCAAGCCCUCGCUGCCGGAAGGCAGGUGUCCGCCAGAGGCCCAAAUUCAAUGUUUGAUAUGUCGUCUGAAGAUUAUACAAUAGUUAAAAACUUUCAACAACGGAUCUCUUGGUUCUGGCAUCGAUGAAGAACGCAGCGAAAUGCGAUAAGUAAUGUGAAUUGCAGAAUUUAGUGAAUCAUCGAAUCUUUGAACGCACAUUGCGCCCUAUGGCAUUCCGUAGGGCAUGCCUGUUCGAGCGUCAUGACAACCCUCAAGCGCUGCUUGGUCUUGGGUCUCGCUACUCAGUGGGCCUUAAACGCAGUGGCAGUGCUUCCAGGCCCUGAGCGUAGUACAUCUUCCGCUACAGCUGCCGGGAGGCUACCAGCCAGCAACCCCUAUCUCUCUAGGUUGACCUCGG